rnacentral:rRNA from 1 species
GAUGAACGCUGGCGGCGUGCUUAACACAUGCAAGUCGAACGGAAAGGCCCAAGCUUGCUUGGGUACUCGAGUGGCGAACGGGUGAGUAACACGUGGGUGAUCUGCCCUGCACUUCGGGAUAAGCCUGGGAAACUGGGUCUAAUACCGGAUAGGACCACUUCUUGGAUGUUGUGGUGGAAAGUUUUUUCGGUGUGGGAUGAGCUCGCGGCCUAUCAGCUUGUUGGUGGGGUAAUGGCCUACCAAGGCGUCGACGGGUAGCCGGCCUGAGAGGGUGUACGGCGACAUUGGGACUGAGAUACGGCACAGACUCCGACGGGAGGCAGCAGUGGGGAAUAUUGAACAAUGGGCGCAAGCCUGAUGCAGCGAGGCCGCGUGGGGGAUGACGGCCUUCGGGUUGUAAACUCCUUUCGCUAGGGACGAAGCGUUUUGUGACGGUACCUGGAGAAGAAGCACCGGCUAACUACGUG